rnacentral:rRNA from 1 species
UACAGAGGGUGCAAGCGUUGUUCGGAAUUAUUGGGCGUAAAGCGCGUGUAGGCGGCUUUGCAAGUCGGGUGUGAAAUCCCUCAGCUUAACUGAGGAAGGGCGCCCGAAACUGCAGAGCUUGAGUACCGGAGAGGAUGGUGGAAUUCCCCAAGUAGAGGUGAAAUUCGUAGAUAUGGGGAGGAACACCGGUGGCGAAGGCGACCAUCUGGACGGAUACUGACGCUGAGACGCGAAAGCGUGGGGAGCAAACAGG